rnacentral:rRNA from 1 species
UACGAAGGGGGCUAGCGUUGCUCGGAAUCACUGGGCGUAAAGGGUGCGUAGGCGGGUUUUUAAGUCAGGGGUGAAAUCCUGGAGCUCAACUCCAGAACUGCCUUUGAUACUGAAGAUCUUGAGUCCGGGAGAGGUGAGUGGAACUGCGAGUGUAGAGGUGAAAUUCGUAGAUAUUCGCAAGAACACCAGUGGCGAAGGCGGCUCACUGGCCCGGUACUGACGCUGAGGCACGAAGGUCAGGGGAGCAAACGGG